GACGAACGCUGGCGGCGUGCCUAAUACAUGCAAGUCGAACGAGAGCAACCGGUGCUUGCUCUGGUCAAUCUAGUGGCGAACGGGUGAGUAACACGUGGGUAACCUGCCCAUCAGAGGGGGAUAACAUCCGGGAACGGAUGCUAAAACCGCAUAGGUCUUCGAACCGCAUGGUUUGAAGAGGAAAAGGUGCGCUAGCUUCUGCUGAUGAAUGGACCCGCCGUGCAUUGGCUAGUUGGUGAGGUAACGGCUCACCAAGGCCUUGAUGCAUAGCCGACUUGAGGGGGUGAUCGGCCACAUUGGGACUGAGACACGGCCCAAACUCAUACGGGAGGCAGCAGUAGGGAAACUUCCGCAAUGGGCGCAAGACUGACGGAGCAACGCCGCGUGAGUGAAGAAGGUUUUCGGAUCGUAAAACUCUGUUGUUAGGGAAGAACAAGUGCUAAAGUAACUGUUAGCGCCUUGACGGUAUCUAACCAGAAAGCCACGGCUAACUACGUG
rnacentral:rRNA from 1 species